rnacentral:rRNA from 1 species
AGAGAUCAGAAGCGAGAAUGUUGACAUGAGUAGCGACAAAGAGGGUGAGAGACCCUCUCGCCGAAAGUCCAAGGGUUCCUGCUUAAAGCUAAUCUGAGCAGGGUGAGCCGGCCCCUAAGGCGAGGCCGAAAGGCGUAGUCGAUGGGAACUAGGUUAAUAUUCCUAGGCCAGUGGGAAGUGACGGAUCUCGAAGGUUGUCUGCCCUUAUCGGAUUGGGUGGGCCGCUUAGAGGUUCCUGGAAGUAGCCCCACAUCAGACCGUACCCUAAACCGACACAGGUGGACUGGUAGAGUAUACCAAGGCGCUUGAGAGAACCACGUUAAAGGAACUCGGCAAAAUGCCUCCGUAAGUUCGCGAGAAGGAGGCCCCAUCAGUAGGCAACUAUUGGUGGGGGGCACAAACUAGGGGGUGGCGACUGUUUACUUAAAACACAGGGCUGUGCGAAGCCGUAAGGCGACGUAUACAGUCUGACGCCUGCCCGGUGCUGGAAGAUUAAGAGGAGGGGUGCAAGCUCUGAAUUGAAGUCCCAGUAAACGGCGGCCGUAACAAUAACGGUCCUAAGGUAGCGAAAUUCCUCGGGUAAGUUCCGACCUGCACGAAUGGCGUAACGAUCUCCCCGCUGUCUCUAACGUGGACUCAGCGAAAUUGAACUGUGUGUCAAGAUGCACACUUCCCGCGGUUAGACGGAAAGACCCCAUGCACCUUUACUCUAGCUUUGCACUGGCAUCAGGAUUGUGAUGUGCAGGAUAGGUGGUAGGCAUUGAAGCGGGGACGCCAGUCUUCGUGGAGCCUCCCUUGAGAUACCACCCUUCGCACUCUUGAUGUCUAACCGCGGCCCGUUAUCCGGGUCCGGGACCCUGCAUGGUGGGGAGUUUGACUGGGGCGGUCGCCUCCUAAACAGUAACGGAGGCGCGCGAUGGUUGGCUCAGACCGGUCGGAAAUCGGUCGUUGAGUGCAAUGGCAGACGCCAGCCUGACUGCAAGUCUGACAAGACGAGCAGAGACGAAAGUCGGUCAUAGUGACCCGGUGGUCCCAAGUGGGAGGGCCAUCGCUCAACGGAUAAAAGGUACGCUGGGGAUAACAGGCUGAUGAUGCCCAAGAGUCCAUAUCGACGGCAUCGUUUGGCACCUCGAUGUCGGCUCAUCUCAUCCUGGGGCUGGAGCAGGUCCCAAGGGUAUGGCUGUUCGCCAUCUAAAGAGGUACGUGAGCUGGGCUUAGAACAUCGUGAGACAGUUCGGUCCCUAUCUGCCGUGGGUGUAGGAGACUUGAGAAGAGUUGCCCCUAGUACGAGAGGACCGGGGUGAACGAACCACUGGUGGACCAGUUAUCGUGCCAACGGUAGUGCUGGGUAGCUAUGUUCGGACAGGAUAAACGCUGAAGGCAUCUAAGCGUGAAGCCCCCUUCAAAACAAGGUCUCCCUUGAGAGCCGUGGAAGACCACCACGUCGAUAGGCCGGAGGUGUAAGUGCAGCAAUGCAUUCAGCUGACCGUUACUAAUUGCUC